AUAUUUACCUGGCAGGAGAGAUCCCAUGGUCACAAAGCUGGUUUUCCCAGGGUGAGGCUUAGCCAUUGCACUCCGAGUGUGCUGACCUCUGUGAUUUUCCCAAAUGUGGAGAACUCAACUGCAUAAUCUUGUGGUAUUGGGGUCCUCAUUCAUGCUAUCCCCUG